rnacentral:rRNA from 1 species
AUACGGAGGAUCCGAGCGUUAUCCGGAUUUAUUGGGUUUAAAGGGAGCGUAGGCGGACGCUUAAGUCAGUUGUGAAAGUUUGCGGCUCAACCGUAAAAUUGCAGUUGAUACUGGGUGUCUUGAGUACAGUAGAGGCAGGCGGAAUUCGUGGUGUAGCCGCGAAAUGCUUAGAUAUCACGAAUAACUCCGAUUGCGAAGGCAGCCUGCUGGACUGUAACUGACGCUGAUGCUCGAAAGUGUGGGUAUCAAACAGGAUUAGAUACCCUGGUAGUCCUCACAGUAGACGAUGAAUACUCGCUGUUUGCGAUAUACAGUAAGCGGCCAAGCGAAAGCGUUAAGUAUUCCUCCGGGGGAGUACGCCGGCAACGGUGAAACUCAGAUGAAUUGACGGUG